UAGCAUAUGAUGAGUUACUCGGAUUUCCCUUCAAGACGUCAUGGGUGAUGUAAAAUCGAGUUUCUGAUGAG